rnacentral:rRNA from 1 species
UACGGGGGGGGCAAGCGUUGUUCGGAAUUACUGGGCGUAAAGGGCUCGUAGGUGGCCAACUAAGUCGGACGUGAAAUCCCUCGGCUUAACCGGGGAACUGCGUCCGAUACUGGUUGGCUUGAGUUUGGGAGAGGGAUGCGGAAUUCCAGGUGUAGCGGUGAAAUGCGUAGAGAUCAUGAGGAAGACCAGUGGCGAAGGCGGGUCUCUGGACAGUUCCUGACACUGAGGCACGAAGGCCAGGGGAGCAAACGGG